rnacentral:snRNA from 1 species
GUGCUCACUUCGGCAGCACAUAACUAAAACUGGAAUGAUACAGAGAAGAUUAGCAUGGCCCCUGUGCAAGGAUGACAUGCAAAUUCAUGAAGCGUUCCAUAUUUUU